rnacentral:rRNA from 1 species
CAGCCGCCGCGGUAAUACGUAGGGUGCGAGCGUUGUCCGGAAUUACUGGGCGUAAAGAGCUCGUAGGCGGUUUGUCGCGUCGUCUGUGAAAUUCUGCAGCUUAACUGUAGGCGUGCAGGCGAUACGGGCAGACUUGAGUACUACAGGGGAGACUGGAAUUCCUGGUGUAGCGGUGAAAUGCGCAGAUAUCAGGAGGAACACCGGUGGCGAAGGCGGGUCUCUGGGUAGUAACUGACGCUGAGGAGCGAAAGCGUGGGUAGCGAACAGGAUUAGAUACCCGUGUAGUCCCUGUCUCUUAUAC